CGUACACUCCUGCGGGAGGCAGCAGUGGGGAAUAUUGCACAAUGGGCGCAAGCCUGAUGCAGCCAUGCCGCGUGUAUGAAGAAGGCCUUCGGGUUGUAAAGUACUUUCAGCGGGGAGGAAGGCGAUAAGGUUAAUAACCUUGUUGAUUGACGUUACCCGCAGAAGAAGCACCGGCUAACUCCGUGCCAGCAGCCGCGGUAAUACGGAGGGUGCAAGCGUUAAUCGGAAUUACUGGGCGUAAAGCGCACGCAGGCGGUCUGUCAAGUCGGAUGUGAAAUCCCCGGGCUCAACCUGGGAACUGCAUUCGAAACUGGCAGGCUAGAGUCUUGUAGAGGGAGGUAGAAUUCCAGGUGUAGCGGUGAAAUGCGUAGAGAUCUGGAGGAAUACCGGUGGCGAAGGCGGCCCCCUGGACAAAGACUGACGCUCAGGUGCGAAAGCGUGGGGAGCAAACAGGAUUAGAAACCCGAGUAGUCCCA
rnacentral:rRNA from 1 species